GACGAACGCUGGCGGCGUGCUUAACACAUGCAAGUCGAACGGAAAGGCCCUGCUUGCAGGGUACUCGAGUGGCGAACGGGUGAGUAACACGUGGGUGAUCUGCCCUGCACUUCGGGAUAAGCUUGGGAAACUGGGUCUAAUACCGGAUAGGAGCCAUCUUUAGUGUGGUGGUUGGAAAGUUUUUUCGGUGUAGGAUGAGCUCGCGGCCUAUCAGCUUGUUGGUGGGGUAAUGGCCUACCAAGGCGGCGACGGGUAGCCGGCCUGAGAGGGUGUACGGCCACAUUGGGACUGAGAUACGGCCCAGACUCCGACGGGAGGCAGCAGUGGGGAAUAUUGCACAAUGGGCGCAAGCCUGAUGCAGCGACGCCGCGUGGGGGAUGAAGGCCUUCGGGUUGUAAACUCCUUUCGCUAGGGACGAAGCUUUUUUGUGACGGUACCUAGAUAAGAAGCACCGGCUAACUACGUG
rnacentral:rRNA from 1 species